rnacentral:tRNA from 2 species
ACCGAGGUGGUGAAAUUGGUAGACACGCUAUCUUGAGGAGGUAGUACUUUUAUUUAGUAUGCGGGUUCAAGUCCCGUCCUCGGUA